rnacentral:rRNA from 1 species
AUUGAACGCUGGCGGCAUGCCUUACACAUGCAAGUCGAACGGCAGCACGGGAGCAAUCCUGGUGGCGAGUGGCGAACGGGUGAGUAAAGUAUCGGAACGUGCCCAGUCGUGGGGGAUAACGUAGCGAAAGUUACGCUAAUACCGCAUACGAUCUAUGGAUGAAAGCGGGGGAUCGCAAGACCUCGCGCGAUUGGAGCGGCCGAUAUCAGAUUAGGUAGUUGGGGGGGUAAAGGCUCACCAAGCCGACGAUCUGUAGCUGGUCUGAGAGGACGACCAGCCACACUGGGACUGAGACACGGCCCAGACUCCUACGGGAGGCAGCAGUGGGGAAUUUUGGACAAUGGGCGCAAGCCUGAUCCAGCCAUGCCGCGUGCAGGAUGGAGGCCUUCGGGUUGUAAACUGCUUUUGUACGGAACGAAAAGGUUUGACUUAAUACGUUGGACUCAUGACGGUACCGUAAGAAUAAGCACCGGCUAACUACGUGCCAGCAGCCGCCGUAA